GAGGGUAUAGCUCAGUGGUAGAGCGAGUGCUUAGGUGGCAUGAGGUCCUGGGUUCAAUCCCCAGUGCUUCCA
rnacentral:tRNA from 1 species